rnacentral:rRNA from 1 species
UUGAUCCUGGCUCAGGAUUAACGCUGGCGGUUGUAGCCUAAUGCAUGCAAGUCGAACGUGGUCUCUUCGGAGAUUAACGUGGCGGACGGGUGAGGAACACGUGGGGAACCUGCCCAUUGGUGGGGGGUAGCCCGCGGAAACGCGGGGUAAUUCCGCAUACGCUGGCCUGGGGAUAGCCUGGGUCAGGAAAGGGUCUUCGGACUCGCCGAUGGAGGGGCCUGCGUCCGAUUAGCUUGUUGGUGGGGUAACGGCCUACCAAGGCGAUGAUCGGUAGCUGGUCUGAGAGGACGGCCAGCCACAGGGGAACUGAGACACGGUCCCCACUCCUACGGGAGGCAGCAGCAAGGAGUUUUCCGCAAUGGGCGAAAGCCUGACGGAGCAACGCCGCGUGGGGGAUGACGCCCUUCGGGGUGUAAACCCCUUUUCUUGGGGACGAAGCAGUGACGGUACCCGAGGAAGAAGGCCCGGCUAACUACGUGCCAGCAGCCGCGGUAAUACGUAGGGGCCGAGCGUUGUCCGGAGUUACUGGGCGUAAAGCGCGCGCAGGCGGCUCGUCAAGCCUGACGUGAAAGCCCCCGGCUCAACCGGGGAGGGUCGUCGGGGACUGGCGAGCUUGAGGUCGGCAGGGGCUGGUGGAACUCCCGGUGUAUUGGUGAAAUGCGUAAGAUCGGGAAAACACCCGUGGCGAAAGGCGGCCAGCUGGGCCGGACCUGACGCUGAGGCGCGAAGGCGUGGGGAGCGAACGGGAUUAAAUACCCCGGUAUCCACGCAUAAAACAAUGCAACUAGCGUGGGGGGACUUGACCCCCUCCGUGCCGUANUAACGCGUGAAGUCUGCCGCCUGGGGAGUACGCCGAAAGGCUAAAACUCAAAGGAAUUGACGGGGGCCCGCAACAAGCGGCGGAGCGUGCGGUUUAAUUGACGCAACGCGUAGAACCUUACCAGGGCUUUGAAAUGAACCUGAAGAGCCGUGAAAGCGGUUGGCCUUCGAGGGUGGUGAACAGGUGCUGCAUGGCUGUCGUCAGCUCGUGUCGUGAGAUGUUGGGUUAAGUCCCGCAACGAGCGCAACCCUCGUGGUUAGUUGCCGAUGUUUCUAGCCAGACUGCCGGUAGCAAGCCGGAGGAAGGUGGGGAUGAUGUCAAGUCAGCAUGGCCCUUACGUCCUGGGCUACACGCACGCUACAAUGGCCGGGACAAUGGGCUGCCAAACCGCAAGGUGGAGCGAAUCCCACAAACCCGGUCUCAGUUCAGAUCGCGGGCUGCAACUCGCCCGCGUGAAGGUGGAGUCGCUAGUAACCGCAGGUCAGCACUACUGCGGUGAAUACGUUCCCGGGCCUUGUACACACCGCCCGUCACGUCACGAAAGCCGGCAACACCUGAAGCCCGUGGGCCAACUCGCAAGAGAGGCAGCGGUCGAGGGUGGGGCGGGUGAUUGGGACGAAGUCGUAACAAGGUAGCCGUAGCGGAAGCUGCGGCUGGAUCACCUCCUU